CAGCAGCCGCGGUAAUACGAAGGGGGCUAGCGUUGCUCGGAAUUACUGGGCGUAAAGCGCACGUAGGCGGCUUUGUAAGUUAGAGGUGAAAGCCUGGAGCUCAACUCCAGAAUUGCCUUUAAGACUGCAUCGCUUGAAUCCAGGAGAGGUGAGUGGAAUUCCGAGUGUAGAGGUGAAAUUCGUAGAUAUUCGGAAGAACACCAGUGGCGAAGGCGGCUCACUGGACUGGUAUUGACGCUGAGGUGCGAAAGCGUGGGGAGCAAACAGGAUUAGAUACCCCAGUAGUCCCUGUCUCUUAUAA
rnacentral:rRNA from 1 species